rnacentral:lncRNA from 1 species
GGGCGACGAGACGAGGAGCCCACGGCCCACGGGUGGGCGCAGCGCCGCGUAGCCUGCCGGGUUACUAAACAUGGUAAACAAAGUGGAGCCUCCAAUCAGCGCUCGACACCUCCCGCUGCGCCCCGCCCCCGCAUCCUUCCGCGCCGGGCAUGGGCACCGCGUCGGCGCGCGCCCCUACCCAGUCGUCGACUUGAUGCUGCUCACUCGCACUCGUCGCAGCGCCCCACGCCCCGCUAUUUAUGCGUACUUGCUUGCCGGGAGAGUCGCUGGAGGUGGGCGUCCUCCUCCCGCUCCAGAGCUCGCUGCUUCGCUCCACCCACCCGUAGGUCCCCUCCCCUCCUCCUCCUCCCUCCCCUGUUGCUGCUGCUUAGCUUGCUUCAACCAUCAUCUGUUCAUCAUGUUCUUCUUCUUGGACACGGAUUAUGGAGAGAGGCUCUUGGAUUGGUCACUGAAUGUCUGGAUCCUCUGUUGCGUCUCUCCUGCUCCCGUCUGGGACUGGCUCCUCGAUCGGGGGGCAGCUAGAGCGCGAUAGGUUUUUGUUUUUGGACCACUCAUCAGAAAGGAGAUAUGCUUGCUCCUUCAGUCCUUCAGUACAAGGAUUGAUAGCUAGCUUGAUGGAUUGUUGGGGGGGAAGGGAGGAACAGAACCUGCAAAAAGCUGGCGUUUUUCACUUGGUUCUAUAUGUUUCUGGUUAGCUUUGACAUCGUACGCAUAUUUGAUAGGACGAUGGCUGCGGCUAGCAAACUUAGCAUGCUAAAUUUUAGAAGAUGGGAAGAUUAACACCCCGAGAACCCCCUUUUUUUUUCUUGUUUUUUGGGGCUGCUGAUAACUAGCGAAUGGAUAGUGUUUGUUAGCUGUCGCUAUUAAGCUGCUCUAGUAUCGUGAGAGGAAGGAGAAGGAGUGCUGCAAGUCCAUUCCGUGGCCUUUUACAGUUACCCGUGGUUUUUCUUGCAUUCUCGGCAUGGUCCAUGUGCCACGUCGGGGAGACCAGAUUUCGACACGAAAGAUUGGGAACGAAACGGCGCUGCUAUAAUCUCUUGAUCAUGGGGGAGUAGGAAAUGGGGAUCCGUUGAUCUGCUUUCCGUAGCUGCUAGUAUUCAUGUCUUCGCAAAAGUAGCAUGAUGCUUUCUGUUGUUUGUUAGCACCGGAUUGUUCCUGAUAAGUUCUCCAUGUUAGGAUCCAGAUGUGUUUCCGGAAAUGUUAGUGAACCUCGUUUAUUGGAUUGCACCCUGUUUUGAAACAGCAGGGCUUUUCUCAUGACACAGGACUACAGGAGUGAAAACUUGUAAUCCCCAUCUGUUGAAAAACAAUGUGAAAUGAAAAUCUUGCACCAUAAUCGCAUACUACUGGAAGUUUCAAAUGAUAUUAUUCAUCAUUAGUCUUAGCCUCAUAGGUUGCUUCUUUCAUUUUUUUUAAGGAACUGCUUCUUCAUAUUGUGAAUAAUUUAGAGGCAUAGCUAUCUGUUGUUUUGUAAUCUCUGAGUUAUUAGCUGAAAAUAGUACAUGCAUACUACAACAGAAGGGCCUAAUUUUGCAUUACCAAUAGCACAGGCACUUCAAUUUUCUUGAGACAGAGGGGGAAAAUGGCAUUCAUUUAAUCAUUUCAGCAUAUAUAAGGAGAACCUUGACAUUGUGCAAUUCCGUAACAGAACUCUGACCUGCUCUUACAUUUUGUUGUCCAUAGCUAAAUGAUCAUAAUUGUUGGAAAAAUACUGUCAAAAACAACUCCGGUGAUUUUUUUUUUAUCACAAAACAUACAUGCUAGAUGAAUUGUGCAACAAAUGUUAUAAAAAGAAACAGAUAAAGCCCGUUCCAUGAAACCUCAUUUGCUGUUAAUGGCGGGUAAAGGAACUUGAUCUUAUUAUUAGGCUACACCGAUUAUUCCAUGAUUUAAAUUUAUGAUACUUAUGACUUCAUAUAAGAACCACAUGUUGUAGCACUGGUUAUGUUAGAGUGCAGAUUUUGUGCCCAGGGGGCUGGCACUGGCACCCUCGUUAGCUAUACCAUGUUGCAAUCUUUCAAAAUUCAUCACGAAAUCAUGUAUCUAGUACACAAAGUUAAGUAUAGUUGCAAUUUGAAAUUCAUCCUAUAUGCCAAGAAACAAAAUAGACAAGCAGUCAACCUGACACUGUUCAUCAUGUGUUGAUAGUGGCACUUCUGUUUUUUUUUUUAAUCUCAGCGUCAAAGAUGGAUUUCAAACUGAAUUGUUGCGGCUAAACUUAACUUUAGGUGUACUACAUACAUGAUUUUUGAAACAUUGCAACAUUAAGACCAGAGAGAAGUAACAAGGACUAUGCAAAUGACCAAAAUACUCAUAUAGUUGAUAUGACAACACACUGGUGUUGCGCUUUUGCGGACGAUGCGGCAACUUCUAGUGAACUUCUGGUGACCUCGUGCGUGAACGAGUGGUGGAGACUCGUUAGGAUGAUUUUUUUAGAAGUCUCUUGCGUGAGCUGAUAGCAGGUCUGGAAGGUGUUGUUAGCUACUCCCUCUGUCCCAAAAAGAGUGUCGUUUUAGGUUUUCGUGCCACAAGUUUGACUCGAUUUGUAGAAAAUAUGUGCAAUAUUUGUGUCUCCAAAUAAAUUUGUUAAAAAACUAGACUUUAAGAUCUUUCUAAUGAUACUAAUUAUGUACUAUAAAUAUUAAUAUUUUUUACUAUAUAUUUAGUUAAAGUUAUUUCUUGGGAAGCGCAAACGACACUUAUUUUGGGACGGAGGGAGUACAUUACACAAAUACGGGUACGAGUAUCCGAUACAAUACGUAUCAGAUACACAGAUACACACUUUCUCAAAAGAAAACCCACUAAAAUGGUGUAUCUAAGUAUCCGUAUCUGUAUCCGCGUAUCCGAUGAGUAUCGGAUAUGGAUACGUCACCCCCCUUAGUGUAUCCGUGUAAGGCUGUUAGUGUGGGUCCCUCAUCUUAGGUCUAGAGUAUAGCUAUGCACACAACUUUAGCAUUUAUUUGUGGAAAAUUUUGAACUCGUCGAUUGCAGUAUUUUGGAGUAUCUAAAUCUACCUUAUAUCUAGAUAUUUAGCAAAAUUGAUGAAUAAUUUAGAACAAAUGACGUAACAAUCUAUCCACUUUUGGUAGGAACACCCAUAAAUAGUCUAAGUAUAUGCUUGGUGUAUAAGGCUCAACACUCGCCCCUCCUCCUCCUCCUCGUCAGCCCCCGCACCUCUCUCUUCCCCUCUUGCUCAAGAGUCACCGGUUGUGCCAGCCUCAUGCUCUCCCACGAUUGGGCCUUGAAGAUCUCCUCCGAGGUCCUUGCCGCUUGUGUGCCUUCCUCCUCACCAAGCCUCUCCUCUUCCUUCUAGUCGAGCUUGAUACUAUUUCCUUUUCACGGAGCCCCUCCUUACCCUCCUUGUCGACCCAACACUAAGCUUUUUUUCAUGUGAUUCUUGUGAAAAGCUCGUUGAGGAAGAAAUCCAACUUUAAUUCAAAGCGAGUUUACAAGUUAUUCCAAAUAGAUUCUAAAACUAGCCCUUGUUCCUUAAAGAAAGGAGAGAAACUCGCUUCUUUAUUCCUAAAGAAACAUAGUUGAUGGUUUCAAGAUACUCGUCAAUCUAUGGCAUAGAUACGAUGUGCGAACUACAUAAUGUAAUUUACUUCCGUACAAGAGUUUAUAUCAUGACAAUUUUUUUAAUCAAUGUAGAGACACUAACACUUAUAUAUAUGCUUGCACACUUAUCCAAUAAACACAAUAUAUACACUUUAUCUCCAAUGUUUCGGUUAGUAGAUCUUAAGAUUGAUGAAUUCACAAUCUCGAUACUAACGAACACGCCACUAUCAUAGGAAAAAUAGCAUUAAAUUCUAAAGGAAAUCAUAAAAAAGAUACGAAUACCGAUAGUAUCAAGCAACUCAAUGCACUAAAUGAACCAGAUACACAAAUCGGUCUGUUUCCCUUACAGUUGAGUAAGGUUGAUUCCUUUGUCAUUCGCUUUUUUUAAAAGAAUUCACUAUUGUAUAAAUUAGUUAUAAAUUUAUUUAGAUUUAACAGACAUAAACCCUAAAUAAAUCUAUGAUUCACUGUGUAUGAUUUUUUUACUAAAGUUCAAGCAUACAAAAAAUUAGGCUAUCAUAAAAAUUUCACCACAAUUGGACCAUAUAAACUGUAGUUAUGAAUUAUUCCAACUAAUUACAGAAAAACAUAGAUAUAAAUCUACAACAAAACUUUAUACUGAAGCAUAUUAUAUUAUAUAUUCACUAUGUAGAUCUAUUGCUGUGGAGUUCAACAAAAUUAGAUUUUCCAUUUUAUACUUUUUUGUGAUUUAUUAUGAUUUUUUAAAUAUUUAGCUGAAAUAAAUAAAAAAGACAGACAAAACCGCCUUCAAAACUACUCCAGAGAGGUAAAAUGUACGGUUUGAAAAAUUGAGAGAUGUGAUUUAUCCAGUUUUGAAGUUCACAAAAGAAAAAUAGGCUUUUACAAACAUUUUAAGGAGGAAAAGUGGAUUUUUUUUCCCCUUGGAUUUCCGUGGCAUGCUCUGUUUUACUAUGUAGUGGCCCUAGCCAUAGUUGGCCCCGCAGCAAAGGUCUCGGCCAAUGUCGACACAGUAGCCUACCUGAGCGAACUACCAUAGAAGCUUGCGUUUGCUCGAGACUGUCGAGAGGCCCAUCCGGCCACGGCCACGGGCCAUCCCAACUGGUUCCUCUCCGAAUCCUUGUUGGCUUGCUCAGGCCUUGUUUAGUUUUCAAAAUUUUUUAAGAUUUUUCGUCACAUCAAAUCUUGCGGCACAUGUAUGAAGUAUUAAAUAUAGACGAAAAGAAAAACUAAUUACACAGUUUGUCUAUAAAUCACGAGAUGAAUCUUUUAAUUCUAGUUAGUCUAUGAUUUGAUAAUAUUUGUCACAAAUAAACGAAAGUGCUAAAAUAGCGAAAUCUAAAAAUUUUCGCAAACUGAACUAGGCCUCAGUCACCAAAGAUAAUCCAUUGUCCGGACGGGGGUGGCAUCCGACGCUAGAGUAGUUCAACAAAUCAGAGAACAGUACAGGCUUCCUAGGUGUUAAAAUUGACGAACAAACCUGAUCCUGCUAGUGCUAGUAGCACUUAGAAUUGAUUGGAGAAAUUUAGCUGCAAUAAGAGAUGAUCGAAAGCAGACCCAUCAGUAUUGUCUUGUUUAGUUUCAGGGUGUAAAGUUUUAGGGUGUCACUUCGAGAUGUUACAUAUGAUGUUCCGAUACUAAUAAAAAAUAAAUUAUAGAAUCCGUUAGUAAUCUGCAAGAUAAAAUUAUUAUCCAUAAUUAAUCUAUCAUUAGCACGUGACAUGCUGGUUUUCAUUACUAAUAAUAGUAGUACGUAUAGUAUAGUACAUUAGUACCCACUACCAACAACGCUACAAGUUGUUUACAUGCUGCCUAGAUUACCCAAAUCAGUUAAGUACACACAUGCAGUGGGACCACGUGGCCUUAGAUAAAAAAAACUACAGUACUAUGCAACAGCACACAGGCGCAGGUUGGGCGACGAGACGAGGAGCCCACGGCCCACGGGUGGGCGCAGCGCAGUGUAGCCUGCCGGGUUACUAAACAUGGUAAACAAAGUGGAGCCUCCAAUCAGCGCUCGACACCUCCCGCUGCGCCCCGCCCCCGCAUCCUUCCGCGCCGGGCAUGGGCACCGCGUCGGCGCGCGCCCCUACCCAGUCGUCGACUUGAUGCUGCUCACUCGCACUCGUCGCAGCGCCCCACGCCCCGCUAUUUAUGCGUACUUGCUUGCCGGG